rnacentral:tRNA from 1 species
GGAGGGGUGCCGGAGUGGUUGAACGGGGCGGUCUCGAAAACCGUUGGGCGCGCAAGCGUCUCCAGGGUUCGAAUCCCUGCCCCUCCG